GCCGGCGUGGCGGAACGGCAGACGCUGGAGACUUAAAAUCUUCUGGGCGGGAACGCUCGUGUGGGUUCGAAUCCCACCGCCGGCA
rnacentral:tRNA from 1 species